rnacentral:rRNA from 1 species
UGAUAGUGGCGGACGGGUGAGUAACGCGUGAGAAUCUAGCUCUAGGUCGGGGACAACCACUGGAAACGGUGGCUAAUACCGGAUGAGCCGAAAGGUAAAAGAUUAAUUGCCUAGAGAUGAGCUCGCGUCUGAUUAGCUAGUUGGUGUGGUAAGAGCGCACCAAGGCGACGAUCAGUAGCUGGUCUGAGAGGAUGAUCAGCCACACUGGGACUGAGACACGGCCCAGACUCCUACGGGAGGCAGCAGUGGGGAAUUUUCCGCAAUGGGCGAAAGCCUGACGGAGCAAUACCGCGUGAGGGAGGAAGGCUCUUGGGUUGUAAACCUCUUUUCU